UCCUUCUCUGUCUUGCCUGAUUUAGGACAAAAAUAAAAAUAAAAAAGAGCUAUGUUGGCAGAAUCAGCAGUGAGCACCAGUAAGAAAGAGCAAUGAGGUGAUGAGAGACAGACAGGUGAUGAGAGACAGACAGGUGAUGAGAGAGAGACAGGGUGAUGAGAGAGAGAGAGAGACAGGGUGAUGAGAGACAGACAGGUGAUGAGAGAGAGACAGGGUGAUGAGAGAGAGACAGGAUGAAGAGAGAGAGAGACAGGGUGAUGAGAGAGAGACAGGGUGAUGAGAGAGAGAGAGACAGGGUGAUGAGAGAGAGACAGGGUGAGGAGAGAGAGAGACAGGGUGAGGAGAGAGAGGUGAUGAGAGAGAGAGAGACAGGGUGAUGAGAGAGAGACAGGGUGAGGAGAGAGAGGUGAUGAGAGAGAGACAGGGUGAUGAGAGAGACAGGGUGUUGAGAGAGAGACAGGGUGAUGAGAGAGAGACAGGGUGAUGAGAGAGAGACAGGGUGAGGAGAGAGAGAGACUGGGUGAGGAGAGAGAGAGGAGAGAGAGACAGGGUGAGAGAGAGACAGGGUGAGGAAAGAGAGACAGGGAGAGGAGAGAGAGAGAGAGACAGGGUGAUGAGAGAGAGACAGGGUGAUGAGAGAGAGACAGGGUGAUGAGAGAGAGAGAGAGACAGGGUGAUGAGAGAGAGAGAGAGACAGGGUGAUGAGAGAGAAAGCUACUGAAGAAAGACUGAAUGCAGAAGGUGAAUACAAAAACGAAAGGCAGAACAUGGACAGAUGGAGAAUUAGAAAUGUAAAUAUUGCA
ensembl:lncRNA